UGGGGAAUUUUGGACAAUGGGCGAAAGCCUGAUCCAGCAAUGCCGCGUGUGUGAAGAAGGCCUUCGGGUUGUAAAGCACUUUUGUCCGGAAAGAAAUCCUUGGCUCUAAUACAGUCGGGGGAUGACGGUACCGGAAGAAUAAGCACCGGCUAACUACGUGCCAGCAGCCGCGGUAAUACGUAGGGUGCAAGCGUUAAUCGGAAUUACUGGGCGUAAAGCGUGCGCAGGCGGUUUGCUAAGACCGAUGUGAAAUCCCCGGGCUCAACCUGGGAACUGCAUUGGUGACUGGCAGGCUAGAGUAUGGCAGAGGGGGGUAGAAUUCCACGUGUAGCAGUGAAAUGCGUAGAGAUGUGGAGGAAUACCGAUGGCGAAGGCAGCCCCCUGGGCCAAUACUGACGCUCAUGCACGAAAGCGUGGGGAGCAAACAGGAUUAGAUACCCUGGUAGUCCACGCCCUAAACGAUGUCAACUAGUUGUUGGGAUUCAUUUCCUUAGUAACGUAGCUAACGCGUGAAGUUGACCGCCUGGGGAGUACGGUCGCAAGAUUAAAACUCAAUGAAUUGACGGGGUCAUAGCUGUUUCCU
rnacentral:rRNA from 1 species